rnacentral:rRNA from 1 species
UACGAAGGGUGCAAACGUUGCUCGGAAUUAUUGGGCGUAAAGCGCACGUAGGCGGCUUGGCAAGUCGGAUGUGAAAUCCCUCGGCUCAACCAAGGAAGUGCAUCCGAAACUGCUGAGCUUGAGUACGAAAGAGGAUCGCGGAAUUCCCGGUGUAGAGGUGAAAUUCGUAGAUAUCGGGAGGAACACCAGUGGCGAAGGCGGGUCUCUGGGCAGUAACUGACGCUGAGGAGCGAAAGCGUGGGGAGCGAACAGG